rnacentral:rRNA from 1 species
UGAUGGACGAAAGCGUGGGGAGCGAACGGGAUUAGAUCCCCCGGUAGUUCCACGCCGUAAACGAUGGAUACCUAGCUGUGGGGACUUCCGGUUCUCCGGUGGGCCAAGCGAAAGUGAUAAGUAUCCCACCUGGGGAGUACGUUCGCAAGAAUGAAACUCAAAGGAAUUGACGGGGGCCCGCACAAGCGGUGGAGCAUGUGGUUUAAUUCGAUUGAUACGCGAGGAACCUUACCAGGGCUUAAAUGCAGGCUGCAUGGGACAGAGACGUCCCUUUCUUCGGACUGCCUGCAAGGUGCUGCAUGGUUGUCGUCAGCUCGUGCCGUGAGGUGUCAGGUUAAGUCCUAUAACGAGCGCAACCCCUGCCGUUAGUUGCCAGCAUGUAAAGAUGGGGACUCUAACGGGACUGCUCGGUGCAAACCGUGAGGAAGGUGGGGACGACGUCAAAUCAUCACGGCCCUUACGUCCUGGGCCACACACGUGCUACGAUGGCCGGUACAGAGGGAAGCCACCCCGCGAGGGGGAGCGGAUCUACAAAGCCGGUCUCAGUUCGGAUCGGGGUCUGCAACUCGACCCCGUGAAGCCUGAAUCGCUAGUAAUCGGAUAUCAGCCAUGAUCCGGUGAAUACGUUCCCGGGCCUUGUACACACCGCCCGUCAAGCCAUGGAAGCUGGGAGUGCCUGAAGUCCGUCACCGUAAG